AAAAGAAGAAGAAAAAUGACCGUGCCUCGCGAUCCCAUCUCCAGUUUCUCCACCUCCACCCGCGGCCUUCCACCGUCGUCGCACCUCCUGCCACGCCCCGCCCCGCCUCAGCGUGCGCCGCCAGCCGCCGCCGCGCGCCUCUACCACCUACCUCGCCGCCCCGCCUACCCCUAUCUCCGAAUCGAGGCGGCUCAACGAGUGUGUGGGGCGGCAGGUGGUUCUCCCGUUCGAUCCGAUCAAGCGAAGUCUGCACAGGGCAGCGGCGGACGGGAUGGACGUGCGGAACGACGGCGGCGUACGGAUCCAGGCGAGCGGAGGCGGGAACUUGCAAGGCGUCGGGGUUCUCCGGGGCGGCACCAUGGUUGUUCUCGCAUGCUCCUGGAAGAAAACGAGGAAGGAUGAGAGGGAGAAAAAACAAGGUAGAAGGAGAGAAACGAGGGGAGGUACGGCAGGGUGAGCAUGGCAGAGGCCGAGAACCCAAGCUGCUCCCUCCAGCGCGCCCCCUCCAUGGCUCGUCGUCGCCGAGUGGCCAGAUCCAACUACAGGCGAGCCCUCCGGACAGCACCUCUCCUCCCUCUCGGUGAGCUCGCUGCCACUCUAGCGGUCUAGCCUACGUUCCCUCAAUCCUAGAACGAUCUGGUUCCAAAGGCUUCUGCUCAAUAGUGUGAUUUCAAAUGCUUCUGCUGAAAAAUAGUGUCAAUCUUCAGCAGAAUUAGCAUUAGUUAUACAUGGUCUCUCAUCCUGACUUCUCAAAAGCAGUUCAACAAUGUCUAUUGGGAUGCCAUCUGUCAUGGCAAGUUUUUCAUGAAUCAAUUCCUGCUUCUGUUUAUUUAUUUCUCUUCUUCAGUAGUUUCCACUCAAAGGAAGUGCUUAACUGGAGAAACCAGAGGAUAUAAAUGGUUAGUAAAGUUAAUCUCUUGCAAUAUUUAGCAGAGAAGCGUUAUUGUGCAAACACUAAUAUUGGUUUUCCUUCUCUUCAAUUAUAGUGCCAAACAAAUAAUGGUGCCUAACUGCACAUACAUAUGUGUAGUUGUUGCCUCCAGAUACUCUCCUACGGCACGAUGCUCCUGCUUCCCUGCAGUUUGCCAUGGAAUUUAACAUGUCUGUCUUUUUUGUUUGGAAUCAGAGCAGAUGUUGCAGAACGACAUCAACCUCCUUAGCCCGCUGGCUGAGCUACACGAAGAAAGAGCAGGGAUAAACACCAUUUGUUGAUAUGUAUGCUUCUGCUGGGUACAUGUGAAUAAAGAGACAAGGAAUGGAAGCUGUAGCGGUAGUCGGACGGUGGCCACGCAUUGGCAAUCACUGUUUAUAUACGUGACUCCAGCCACCUAUGGUGAGCAGACUUUGAUCUUGAUAUGUUAGUCCAAGUGGAUAAACAUUAUUAGGUGUUUAAUGUGAUGUGACUUCAUUGGUUGGACGUCUAUUAGGAUAUAUGUAGUACACAGCCACAUAUGAUUUUUUUCGAGUUGCC
rnacentral:rRNA from 1 species